rnacentral:ncRNA from 2 species
AACCUAUUCAGAGCGGCCGAGAGACCCGGCUCUACGACGCCGCAGCAACCCCCAGAGCCCUGGAAGGGUGCUACAGCCAGGUUCGAUAGGGA